AGAUAAUGAUGUAAAUAAAUGUCAGCACAGACUCUGGUGCAAGUUAGAUGAUCCAGAGAUAUUCACUUCAUUUUCCUUUCUCUUUAUAAAGAACUGAAGGGAAGCCUGGACUCAAAUCAAGCCAAAGCCUUUGGAAGGUCUUGGACUAUAAAAAUGGAGUACCUGUGGGCAGCAGGCACCAGAGAGGCCGCCAAUGUGGAGGUCACAGUACUUGUCAUGAGACUGAUGGGACUCCGGUGGGAUGGAACUCAGGACCUCGUGCUUGCCAGGAGGUGCAGUGCCACCAAGCUAAAUCUCCAGCCCUGUUAUACAAUUUUUAAAAGGCAUGUUAACUUAUCUUUGGUUUUUCCUGGCCUUCCAUGAAAUUUCAAAAGCCCUCAAAUUUUAAUAUAAAGUGUUUUCAGUAUCAUUACAGCCUGUAAUAUCAAUUAUGAAUUUCUUUGUAAUCUAACACUAUUUAGGAGAUAUUUUUAUAUUCCCAGUGAAUAAAUUUCACUUUGACUAUUUUUGUUUCUAAAGUUUCAUUGUAUUGCAG
rnacentral:lncRNA from 1 species